CGCCCAACGGUAAAUGAAUAAAUAAACAAAUAAUCCCAUUUAAAAAACCUCACAAGCUUUUACUUGGUUGGUUUCACCUUCAACCAUUCAAUUUCGAAAUUAAAAUCUAAAAAUACAACAAAAUAGAAAAUUAUCACAGCAUAGAGAAUAAAUGCAAAAAAUCAUUAAACAAUAGUAAAAUCUAAUAACAGAAGUAUUCGGGGUAGAAAAUACAGUGCUCGUAGCUUAUGCAAGAUGGGAUAGUUAGUCCGUCCAAGUGCAAAGCUUAAAAUAAACAGGCUUAGUAUGAAUGGAAGUGGCCCCAUCUUACCUUUGUUAUGGAAAUAAAGAUUUUUUUUAAUUUUUAAAUUUCUAUAAUAUAAAUAUAUAAAUUUUUUAAUAUAAUUGAAGUUCGACAGAUCAAAUAUCCCAAUUAUGACAUGCCCACCAACUCAAAAUUUGGGUACCUUUUGAGACAUUCAUUCAAAAGCAUGAUUGGGAUGCCCAAUCAAUGGGGGCCAAAAGAAAAAAGGACACUUGCAUUAUAAAAUGAAGGGCCUAAUCAAAAUUCCAUCUUUUUUCUUUUUCUUUUAAUUUAAUCUCAUAGGCUAAAGAAAGAAAAGAAAAGGUGUGAAAUCUUUUGGAAAACCAAUUGGCAUAUGUGUGGUACUAAUCAUUUUUAGCACUAAAACCACCCACCACCUCAGAGUAAUCAUUCACUCCAUCCAUGUUAGACUAACCCAUCAAACCCUAAACACACAUUCCAUCCUAAUAAUCUUUUUAAAAUCCUCCAAGUAUUAAAUAAAAUUCCUUUCACGCUUCUCAUUGUGUAUCUUUUCAUGUUUAAUCAAAUAUAAAAUGGGCUCUUUGAUAUUUUUACUUGUGUUCUCUCACAAGUUCAACUAAAUAUGUCCACAAAGCCACUUUGAAAUCUUGUAACUCUUGAAUUAAACUUAAUCAAAUCAAUUUCUUCAUUCCAUAUAGAUUUCUCGUUCAUAUGUUGUAAAUCAUUCCCCCUUAAGAAAGUCGAAAUGUAUAAAAUUUAACAAUAAGCUUUUUAUUAUUUGAAAUCGAGGCUCACAAUUCCAUGUAUAUUGCCUCUGCUCUCACAUUGACAUUAAUUCAAUUUCCAAGCCAACAAAUUAAAUAAAUAAAUAAAAAG
rnacentral:misc_RNA from 1 species